GCCUUCGUGGUGUAGAGGUCAACAUGCUCGGCGUGUAUUCGCGAGGCCCGUGGUUCGAGUCCCGACGAAGGCU
rnacentral:tRNA from 1 species